GCGGAAGUAGUUCAGUGGUAGAACACCACUUUGCCAAGGUGGGGGUCGCGGGUUCGAACCCCGUCUUCCGCUCCA
rnacentral:tRNA from 1 species